UCGGGCCGCGGGGCCUUCUGGGAGGUGCUGUGUAGCGGAACGUCCGUAGGGAGGCGGGCGUGGGGGGAUAGUUCGGCGUUACCGGCACCUGGCCGGGCCUUCCUGCGGGUCGCCUUCGCCCGGCCUCUCAGAAACUGCGCACUAGAUGCGCAUUCGGGCGUUUCCGGCAGGUGACGCUGCCGCGUCCCCGGAGCGGGCCUUGAAGGAGGGGCUCAAGCAGUCUGGGCUGCACCAGCGCGCGCGGCUGACGGGGCGGAGCCUUAGAGGAGGCCCAGAGUGUCUGGAGUAGCGGCUGUGCGGCGUGCGCGGGCUUGGCAUUAUCUGGACUGUGCCCUUUUUGAGGAAGAAGAGGAUAUGACUAGUUCUCUGGAAGAGGAUAUGACCAGUUCUCUUGAAACAGUAACAUUUAAGGAUGUGGCUGUGGACCUCACCCAGGAGGAAUGGCAGCAAAUGAAACCUGCUCAGAGAGACUUGUACCGUGAUGUGAUGCUGGAGAACUAUAGCAACCUAGUCACAGUGGGCUAUCAAGUCACCAAACCAGAUGUGAUCUUCAAGUUGGAGCAGGAAGAGGAGCCAUGGGUGGUAGAAGAGGAAAUAUUUGGAAGACACUAUCCAGGUAAGUAAGUGAAAAGGCAGGUCUGAAUAGAAAGCCAC